GGGUUAUUGAAUGUCCAAGCUACAAAUUAGGUGAAAAACAGUUAACCCAUUCCUUUCUAUAUGUGCUGAAAUGCCCUAUUCCUUUGCUGGGUUGGGACCUACUGCAUAAAUUAGGAGCCUCCAUUUAUUUGAAAGGGUAAGUGAAGGUAAAUAUCGCCACAGCAUUUGGUCACCAGCUGAUGAUACUCCUGACAAAAGGGACUGAGUCAAAAGACUUAAAGGGAAAUAAUAGAAUUACCAGAGGUAAAUCCCUGAGCCAUCUGAGUGGACCCCAUGAUUGUCGAACUAAAACCUGGGCACAAGUGCCCAAAUGUUAAACAAUAUCUUCUCAGACAGGAUGCCCUAAAUGACAUGGCCCCUGUCAUAAAGAACUUGUCUAAGUCAUGAUGUGGUACCAGCUGAUGGCACAGUGAGAGUAAUGGGGGUGAACCAUGGAACCAAGGGUGGGUUUCUACUGGGGCUGAGAUUCUAUUUGCUUGUGAAAGUUCCUGGAUCCUUUAGAAUUGGUUUUCCUUCCCUAGUAUUGUGAGGCCAUGAGGACCCCGUGCAUUCAUGGUUGGUGGCUCCUGUGGUGACCAGAACAGAAACUGCCACUUGCUGAAAGAGGAAAGGACAGCAACAGCCUCGGGCCAGGGAGGUGACCACCAGGAAAUGAGGUGGGACACAGCCUGGUUACCUGUGCUCAGACAGCUUGGACGUGGUACUCAGAGGGUGCCUUUGAAGCUGGAUGAAUGGACAAGUCACUACAUGGAAAUAGAAGCUCAGAGAGAAAGCAGAAAUGCCAAGAAGAACAGAUAGCUGACAGGGCCCACUGGUACGCCCAGCCUGCCCUUGGCCUUUCCAGCUCUGCCCCAGGAGCCACCCUGCUCCCCACGGAGAUCAAAGGCUCUCUGGCCUCUGGGACUCACCCAUGCUGCUCCCUGGCCUGGCACAUCCCUCCUCCCUCUUCUCUGCACAGGCCCUCCUCACACUGCCCUGUGGGCAUCAGUCCUGUCAUCUUCUCCCAGAACUCGCUGCCUAUGCCUGCUUCCUUCUGCCCUGGACCCCCGCGGCUGUCCACGUUCUACAUCCUGCGCCCCCCACCCCCGCCCCGCCAUGUGCCCCCGAUUCUCCUGAUGGAUUUCCUUAUUUAUUAUUGUUGCCCUGCAGUGUGGGGAGCAGUGCCUGAUGCUCCUCCAGGAGAUGGCCUGGGGCCUGGCACAGGCUGUUCCUCUGUAGGGAAGCUCUCUCCCCCUCCCCCCGGUUAACAACUGCUCACUCACUCAAGGGGCCCUUCCUCCCACAAGCUCCCCAACCCCCAGGCCAAGCCCGGCUGUGCUGGUGGAUGCUCUUGGGGCUCCCUUCCAGCAGCAACCUCGUUACACAUUUAUGACGCAGGUGUGUGAAUGGUGCCCAUCUCCUGCCCCCAUGAGAAGCUUCACAAAGGCAGGGAGCACGUCCACCCUGCUCCUACUGCCCGGCACUCACUGACCUGGUGCUGAUGCGGCGCUGAGAGCAGGGCCUCUAUUACUGCUGCAUCUUCAGAGCACCCAAGACGUGCUCAGAAAUAGGGGUCUGUCCCCACCCCAGCCUGAUUGCAGAAUGACUGGCCCGUGUGCCUCCUCUCACCGUCUGGCCUGCAGAGACGGGGAAAGUGCCCAGUGUAGGCCCAGCCCAGGGGUCUAUUUUUUUUUUUUUAAAGAUUUUAUUUUUUCCUUUUUCUCCCCAAAGCCCCCCGGUACAUAGUUGUGUAUUCUUCGUUG
rnacentral:lncRNA from 1 species